rnacentral:rRNA from 1 species
GCCAGACUCCUACGGGAGGCAGCAGUGGGGAAUAUUGCACAAUGGGGGAAACCCUGAUGCAGCGAUGCCGCGUGGAGGAAGAAGGUUUUCGGAUUGUAAACUCCUUUUAUCAGGGACGAUAAUGACGGUACCUGAAGAAAAAGCUCCGGCUAACUACGUGCCAGCAGCCGCGGUAAUACGUAGGGAGCGAGCGUUGUCCGGAAUUACUGGGUGUAAAGGGAGCGUAGGCGGGACGGCAAGUCAGAUGUGAAAGCUGAGGGCUCAACUUUCAGACUGCAUUUGAAACUGCUGUUCUUGAGUGAAGUAGAGGUAAGCGGAAUUCCUAGUGUAGCGGUGAAAUGCGUAGAUAUUAGGAGGAACAUCGGUGGCGAAGGCGGCUUACUGGGCUUUUACUGACGCUGAGGCUCGAAAGCGUGGGGAGCAAACAGGAUUAGAUACCCUUGUAC